rnacentral:rRNA from 1 species
GAUGAACGCUAGCGGCAGGCCUAACACAUGCAAGUCGAGGGAGAAGCCCUUCGGGGCGGAAACCGGCGCACGGGUGCGUAACGCGUAUGCAACCUACCUUUCACAGGGGGAUAGCCCGAAGAAAUUUGGAUUAAUAUCCCAUAAUAUUAUUGGAUGGCAUCAUUUGAUAAUUAAAACUGAGGUGGUGAAAGAUGGGCAUGCGUCCUAUUAGCUAGUUGGAGUGGUAACGGCACCCCAAGACUACGAUAGGUAGGGGUCCUGAGAGGGAGAUCCCCCACACUGGUACUGAGACAGGGACCAGACUCCUACGGGAGGCAGCAGUGAGGAAUAUUGGUCAAUGGUCGGAAGACUGAACCAGCCAUGCCGCGUGCAGGAAGAAUGCCUUAUGGGUUGUAAACUGCUUUUAUAUGGGAAGAAUAAGGAGUACGUGUACUUUGAUGACGGUACCAUAUGAAUAAGCAUCGGUA